rnacentral:rRNA from 1 species
CCCUUAGAUGUUCUGGGCCGCACGCGCGCUACACUGUUCGACGCAGCGAGUCUUAACCUUGACCGAAAGGUUUGGGUAAUCUUCAGCAAAGUCGAACGUGAUGGGGAUCGAUCAUUGCAAUUAUUGAUCGUGAACGAGGAGUUCCUAGUAAGUGCAAGUCAUCAGCUUGCGCUGAUUACGUCCCUGCCCUUUGUACACACCGCCCGUCGCUACUACCGAUUGAAUGGUUUAGUGAGAUCUCUGGAUUGACGCUGGCUAGGGGGCGACCCUUGGCCAGACUGCUCGAGAAACUGCUCAAACUUGAUCAUUUAGAGGAAGUAAAAGUCGUAACA